rnacentral:lncRNA from 1 species
CAGUUGAAUUUUGGCAGUAAUGUGCUAUUAUUUUGAAGAAAAAUUACUUUGCACCACUUUGAAUAUAUGUCUUAACAAAUAGUGCUAGAACAUACAUUCGCACUACAGUUAUUUCAAGUUCGCGGAAGCUUUCAUAGAACUAGGGUGGAAAAAAGGCGACUGCAUAUUCCUAUGUCUUAAUAAAAAAUUAUAUUUCAUCGACUUGACAGGUUCUUGGCCACAGGAGAGACGCAGCGGGACAUGUCAUUCAACUUAGUGGUGGGCAGAUGAACUAUAUGCGGCAUUGUGUCAGCAGUGUCCGACGCUCUGUGGACUGUAUUGAAGCCACUGUAUCUUCAGCAUCCGCAAGGAGCGGAUUAAUGGCUCAAGGUAUCCGCAGAGUUUGAGGAGCGAUGGAUUAUGCCACACUGCGUAGGGGCAACUGAUGGGAAGCACGUGAACAUUGAGUGGCCUGCAAAUUCUGGAACCCUUGACCACAACUACAAGGGUUCAUUCAGCAAAUCACACCUCGCUGUCUGUGACGCACAUACA